rnacentral:rRNA from 1 species
AUUGAACGCUGGCGGCAGGCCUAACACAUGCAAGUCGAGCGGUUGACGGGAGCUUGCUCCCUGAUUCAGCGGCGGACGGGUGAGUAAUGCCUAGGAAUCUGCCUAUUAGUGGGGGACAACGUUUCGAAAGGAACGCUAAUACCGCAUACGUCCUACGGGAGAAAGCAGGGGACCUUCGGGCCUUGCGCUAAUAGAUGAGCCUAGGUCGGAUUAGCUUGUUGGUGAGGUAAUGGCUCACCAAGGCGACGAUCCGUAACUGGUCUGAGAGGAUGAGCAGUCACACUGGAACUGAGACACGGUCCAGACUCCUACGGGAGGCAGCAGUGGGGAAUAUUGGACAAUGGGCGAAAGCCUGAUCCAGCCAUGCCGCGUGUGUGAAGAAGGUCUUCGGAUUGUAAAGCACUUUAAGUUGGGAGGAAGGGUUGUAGAUUAAUACUCUGCAAUUUUGACGUUACCGACAGAAUAAGCACCGGCUAACUCUGUGCCAGCAGCCGCAGUAA